CGGACGGGUGAGUAACACGUGGAUAACCUACCUAUAAGACUGGGAUAACUUCGGGAAACCGGAGCUAAUACCGGAUAAUAUAUUGAACCGCAUGGUUCAAUGUGAAAGACGGUUUUGCUGUCACUUAUAGAUGGAUCCGCGCCGCAUUAGCUAGUUGGUAAGGUAACGGCUUACCAAGGCAACGAUGCGUAGCCGACCUGAGAGGGUGAUCGGCCACACUGGAACUGAGACACGGUCCAGACUCCUACGGGAGGCAGCAGUC
rnacentral:rRNA from 1 species